GCCCGUCCCAACCGUCUUUGUUUAAAUUGGCCGCUGCAGGAUGAGAGGUGUGUUUGGACCAGGGAGCACUUCAGGUUUCCUUCAUGGUGGCAGUGAGAGCCAUGAGAGAAACAAAGCUGAGCAGAGAGCUCAGGUUUCAUUGAAGUAACACAAGAACAGGGAGCUGAGCUCUUCUAGCCCUCUGUUCCUGUUAGAAAAGAAGAAGAGUCCAUGUUUUGUUCAGGGACCAGUUGUUUUUUGUCUCUCUGCAGGUGGAGCAGUUGUUCUGUUUGGGUUUGAGGAGUCGCUCUGAGUGUUUAAAGCUCCUGGAGAUGUGUGGCUGGAAUCUGGAGAUGGCCAGCACUCAGAUGUUAGAUGAUUAUGGAUCCACAACMAAACAAAGAUGGUGACAGGAAGCUAAAGCUCUGGUUGGAUCAUCAGUUAAACUUCAUCAGACAGAAGAUUUUCUCCUGACCUGCUCUGUUUGCUGCUGCUUUCCUUUCAGCAGAACAUUUUACUCUGACACAUGUAGACACAAGCACAAGUUGAACUUAAAUCAGACCCAUUUGUCAAACGGUACGAACGUGUGGCAGAAAAAUAAAGACUUUGGGUCAUAGUUGGA